UCCAGGGUAGCCUAGUGGACAUAGAAUCUGCUCGGUAAGCGGAACAAUGUGGGUUCGAUUCCCAUCCCUGGAC
rnacentral:tRNA from 1 species